rnacentral:rRNA from 1 species
GGGUACAAUUGAGACAGGUGGUGCAUGGUUGUCGUCAGCUCGUGUCGUGAGAUGUUGGGUUAAGUCCCGCAACGAGCGCAACCUUGUGUUUAGUUGCAAACAGGUCAAGCUGUGCACUCUAGACAGACUGCCGUGGACAACACGGAGGAAGGUGGGGAUGACGUCAAAUCAUCAUGCCCCUUAUGAUCUGGGCUACACACGUGCUACAAUGGCCGGUACAACGGGCAGCGAAGGAGCGAUCCGGAGCGAAUCCUAAAAAGCCGGUCCCAGUUCGGAUUGCAGGCUGAAACUCGCCUACAUGAAGUUGGAGUUGCUAGUAAUCGCGAAUCAGAAUGUCGCGGUGAAUGCGUUCCCGGGUCUU